rnacentral:rRNA from 1 species
CCAAUAGCGUAUAUUGAAGUUGUUGCAGUUAAAAAGCUCGUAGUUGAAUUUCGGGGUCAGUAGGUCGGUCGUGCCACUGGUAUGAACUGGUUUUACUGAUUCCUCCCUCUUGAAGAACUGUAAUGCCAUUAAUUUGGUGUUGCAGGGAAUCAGGACUGUUACUUUGAAAAAAUUAGAGUGUUUAAAGCAGGCUUUAGCUUGAAUACAUUAGCAUGGAAUAAUGAAAUAGGACGUUUGAUCCUAUUUUGUUGGUUUCUAGGAUUGACGUAAUGAUUAAUAGGGAUAGUUGGGGGCAUUAGUAUUCUAUUGUCAGAGGUGAAAUUCUUGGAUUUAUUGAAGACUAACUACUGCGAAAGCAUUUGCCAAGGAUGUUUUCAUUAAUCAAGAACGAAAGUUAGGGGAUCGAAGACGAUCAGAUACCGUCGUAGUCUUAACCAUAAACUAUGCCGACUAGGGAUCGGAUGAUGUUAAUUUUUUAAUGACUCAUUCGGCGCCUUACG